GGGGACUCCACGCCGGGGCACGUGGGCAGAGGAGAGCCAGCCCCAAUCUGCUCGUGGCUCCCAGGCCGGCGGUUGGCCUGACCCUGUGUCAGCUGCUGUGAAGGUGAGGCACUGGUUGGGUAGGAAGGACGCGAGGAGCAGGCAGGGGCAGUCAUGGAGACUGGGGGCCUGGGCCAAGGCUGGGGCGCAGGGCUUGCUUACUGUCACCAGGGCUGAGGGUGCGGGCGACUCGAGGCCAGACGGCGGCGGCAGGCUUGAAUCUCACAGGAGCAGCCUGAGCCCUGUCUGCCCAGGGCUUGGCUUCCAGAGGCGCAGGAUGGGAGGAUGGCGCCGGAAAGAGGAUGGGGCUCCGCAGGGGGCUCGAGGUGGCGAGGUGGCGGUGACAGAGUCCCGCAGGGACCCUGCCCUCAGGGCUCACAGGAAGCCCAGGGAUGCGGUGCGGGCUUCACAGAGGUCUGUGCAAGCCAAAGGCCUGGGGCAGCCUUGACCCUGUGGAGCAGCAGCCCUGGGUGGGGGGGUCUCUGACAGCACCACCCUGGAGAGAGCUCAGGCGCUGGACAUCCUGGGUCCAGCCCAGCCCGUCACCCUCUGGCUGUGUGGGCCAGACCCAUGGCUCCACUUCCCUGAGCCUCAGUUUCCUCCUCUGAAACGGAGAAAAUAAAGCCGACCUCAUGCCCCGUGGGGUCUAAAUGAGACCCUGCAGACACCCACCCAGUUGUUUCUGCCGCUGUCCCAGCCUAGCAGGACGUUGCCCUCCUCCGUCUGCAGGAGAGCACCAGCAGGUCCCUGGGGCCCCACCGCGGCUUGCUCAGCCCCUCGACAGUCCAGCUUAGGGGUCAGCAGAUCGCCUGCACAGGCCGGAGGAGCCCCGCGAGCUCAGCUCAGCCCCCGGGCCCUGCCUCAGGCACCCCCACAUGGAUGCUCCACGAGCCAGCAGCAAGCAAGUCGCCCCCAGGGCUGGGUCUGGGGCACAGUGGGAGGGGCUGGGAGCCAGCCGCUCCGGACAGAGCGUGUCCCCACACCAUCCCUGCACUGACUUUUCUCUUUUAACCGUUUAAUUUUGAGAUAAUUUCAGACUUACAGAAGAAUGGCAAAAAUAGAGUUCCCGUAAAUCCUUCACCAGCCUCCCCUGGUGUUACCUUCUUGCACAACCACAGUACAAUGAACCAAACUAGAAAACGGACACUGGUGGGAGGCUGUUGAUCGAAGUACAGACUUUUCUCAGAUUUCACCAGUCUUCCCUCUGACGUCCCUUUUCUGUUCCAGGAUCCCAUGAGGAUCCCACAUGACAUUGCUUCGUGGAAUCUCUUUAAUCUCCUCCCGUCUGUGACGGUUUCUCAGCCUGCCUGCUCUGCCAUAACCGUGACACAUUUGAGGAGCACUGAAUGGUUCUUUUGUCCAGGUCCUCAGUCUGGGUCUGUCUGGUGUCUCCUCGUGAUGAGGGGGAGCACAGAGGGGAUGUGCCUCUCAGCGCACCUGUCGGCGGCCCCCGAUUUCCACGUGUCUAUUACCAGCGAUGUAACCUUGCUCACUUGACUAAGGCGAUAUGAGCCAGGAUUCUCCACCAUCAAGUUGCUCCCUUUCCCUUUGUGACUCGUAACUAUUUUGAUGGAGCCACGGAAAUAUGAACCUAAAGCAGGGGCAACCCUAGGGAAGAAAAUAGAUGAAUUGGACUUCAUCACAAUUGAACACUUUUUUGCAUCAAAGGAGACCCACCAAAUGUGAGAAAAUGUUUGCAAAUCAGAUAUCUGAUAAGGAUCUCGUAUCCAGAAUGUAUAAGGAAUUCUUUCAACUCAAUAAAAAGACAAAUAACCUAAUUAAAAAAUAGGCAAAAGUGGG
ensembl:lncRNA